GCUGGGGCUCCGCCGGGACCGGGGGCCAGGGGUAUUUCGCGCGGGUCCCCCCUCCCUCGCGGCCUCCAUUUUGAGCUGGGCCCGGCGGCCGCUGGGGAUCAUGGCGGCCCGGCCGCUCGGCCAAAGGGCCGGGGCUGGGCGCGCGGGGGCACGGACCGGCCGGGCGUCCUUACCUGGAGGCUGCAGCAGCGGUGGCGAGGCAGCGGGAUCCAGACCGGGUCCAGCAUGUCAUGGGGGGUGGGGGCGGGGGGGGCGCGGGCCCGGGGGGGGGGGAGGGAGGGGAGGGAGGGAGGGGAGGGGGCGGCGGCGGGGGGGGCCCCGAGCCCGGCGCUCACGCCGCGCGGCAGGAGGGGACGGAGGAGACACGGGAGCCGCUCGCGCUGAUCACGGGGACAAACAGUGGGGUCAUGUGAGGAGGAGAUGCCGGCCGCCGCCGCCGCUGCUCCUGCAGCCGCCGCCGCCGCCUCCGCUCGCUCGCCCGCGGGCCGGCUCGGGACAGCUCUAGGCUCCGGAACGCAGCGAGGCCGCCCCCCCCGCCCGCUGCACGCGGCCUGGCCUCCUUCCUGAGCAGCCGCCGCCGCCGCCGCGACUUUUUUCCAAGACCCGGCCCCCGCCUGGAUGGCCGUCGCCUCUCCCCUGGAUCGCCGGCUCGCGCGUCCGCCGCCCGGCCUGGCCAGUCCGGCGGCGGAUCGCUGUGCAGCGGCCGCCCCCGUUUCUAUUUUUUUCCCCCCUUUUUUCCUCCUUUACUUGAGCUGCGCGCGCGGCGCGGCGGCGGCGGCGCGAGCCCGGGGCCGACGCGCGCUCGGGGGGAGGGCAGCCCCCGGGGAGCGCGCGCGCUGUCUGUCUCGGAUGGAGGGCGGGCGCGCGGGCGGGUCUCGGUGGGGCGGGAGGUCGCCGCACCGCCUUCGCGGACGCCCGGCAUCCGCCGGCAGGCCGCCUGGGUGGAACGCGGCCCGGAUGGAACGCCGGGGGACCCGGAGGAGGGGUCUUGUCGCCGAGGACGAGGCAGGCGGCGGGGUUUGGAGACAGAAAACUGUUGAUGUAUCAUCUGUUCAUCCACCAAAGAUAUGGUGAACUUGACAAUGACAAGGGAAAAGGCGAGGUGCCCUCACUAAGAACUAGUAGAGAAAGAUGCUCUCAACGACGGGACAGAGAACAGACAUAUCGAAUUAAAGAAGUGACCAGUGUAAACUUCCACCUCAGACUUGAUGAAAACAGUCAUGAAAACUUCCGGACAACUGAGUGCAGGGCAAUGGUUCACCGGAAGCCCUCUGGAAGCCAGGGAA
rnacentral:lncRNA from 1 species